UACGGGGGGGGCAAGCGUUGUUCGGAAUUACUGGGCGUAAAGGGCUCGUAGGCGGCCAACUAAGUCGGACGUGAAAUCCCUCAGCUUAACUGGGGAACUGCGUCCGAUACUGGAUGGCUUGGAUUUGGGAGAGGGAUGCGGAAUUCCAGGUGUAGCGGUGAAAUGCGCAGAUAUCAGGAAGAACACCGGUGGCGAAGGCGGCCCACUGGAUCGGUACUGACGCUGAGGUGCGAAAGCGUGGGGAGCAAACAGG
rnacentral:rRNA from 1 species